GAUGAACGCUGGCGGCGUGCUUAACACAUGCAAGUCGAACGAAGCACUUCGAUUUCUUCGGAUUGAGGAGUGACUGAGUGGCGGACGGGUGAGUAACGCGUGGGUAACCUGCCUCAUACAGGGGGAUAACAGUUAGAAAUGACUGCUAAUACCGCAUAAGCGCACAGUACCGCAUGGUACGGUGUGAAAAACUCCGGUGGUAUGAGAUGGACCCGCGUCUGAUUAGCUAGUUGGUGGGGUAACGGCCCACCAAGGCGACGAUCAGUAGCCGACCUGAGAGGGUGACCGGCCACAUUGGGACUGAGACACGGCCCAAACUCCUACGGGAGGCAGCAGUGGGGAAGAUUGCACAAUGGGCGAAAGCCUGAUGCAGCGACGCCGCGUGAACGAAGAAGUAUUUCGGUAUGUAAAGUUCUAUCAGCAGGGAAGAAAAUGACGGUACCUGACUAAGAAGCACCGGCUAAAUACGUGCCAGCAGCCGCCGUAAAAC
rnacentral:rRNA from 1 species